UACUGUGAUCGAGGUGGCGCGUAUGUCGUACCGAGGGAGAGUUUGGAUUAUUGGCCAACGGGUGAGUAACACGUGAGUAACCUGCCCCCGACUCUGGGAUAAGCCCGGGAAACUGGGUCUAAUACCGGAUAUGACCUCGCACCGCAUGGUGCGGGGUGGAAAGAUUUAUCGGUGGGGGAUGGACUCGCGGCCUAUCAGCUUGUUGGUGAGGUAAUGGCUCACCAAGGCGACGACGGGUAGCCGGCCUGAGAGGGUGACCGGCCACACUGGGACUGAGACACGGCCCAGACUCCUACGGGAGGCAGCAGUGGGGAAUAUUGCACAAUGGGCGAAAGCCUGAUGCAGCGACGCCGCGUGAGGGAUGACGGCCUUCGGGUUGUAAACCUCUUUCAGUAGGGAAGAAGCGAAAGUGACGGUACCUGCAGAAGAAGCGCCGGCUAACUACGUGCCAGCAGCCGCGGUAAUACGUAGGGCGCAAGCGUUAUCCGGAUUUAUUGGGCGUAAAGAGCUCGUAGGCGGUUUGUCGCGUCUGCCGUGAAAGUCCGAGGCUCAACCUCGGAUCUGCGGUGGGUACGGGCAGACUAGAGUGAUGUAGGGGAGACUGGAAUUCCUGGUGUAGCGGUGAAAUGCGCAGAUAUCAGGAGGAACACCGAUGGCGAAGGCAGGUCUCUGGGCAUUUACUGACGCUGAGGAGCGAAAGCAUGGGGAGCGAACAGGAUUAGAUACCCUGGUAGUCCAUGCCGUAAACGUUGGGCACUAGGUGUGGGGGACAUUCCACGUUUUCCGCGCCGUAGCUAACGCAUUAAGUGCCCCGCCUGGGGAGUACGGCGCAAGGCUAAAACUCAAAGGAAUUUGACGGGGGCCGCACAAGCGGCGGAGCAUGCGAUUAUUCGAUGCACGCGAGAACCUUACCAAGGCUGGACUGGGCAGACGCCUCAGAAAUGGGGUUUCCUUCGGGCUGUUUCCAGGGGUGCAUUGUUUUCUCAGUUGGUCGGGAUGUUGGGUUAGUCGCCACGAGCCAACCC
rnacentral:rRNA from 1 species